UUCCGGUUGAUCCUGCCAGACCUGACUGCUAUCGGAUUGAUACUAAGCCAUGCGAGUCUUUGUAGUAAUACAAGGCAGACGGCUCAGUAACACGUAGUCAACCUACCCUAUGGACGAGAAUAAUCUCGGGAAACUGAGCAUAAUUCUUGAUAGAUCAUAAUGCCUGGAAUGGUUUAUGGUUAAAAUGAUUCGUCGCCAUAGGAUGGGACUGCGGCCUAUCAGCUUGUUGGUGAGGUAAUGGCCCACCAAGGCGAUUACAGGUACGGGCUCUGAGAGGAGAAGCCCGGAGAUGGGUACUGAGACACGGACCCAGGCCCUAUGGGGCGCAGCAGGCGAGAAAACUCUGCAAUGUGCGAAAGCACGACAAGGUUAAUCCGAGUGAUUUCUGCUAAAGAAAUUUUUUGCCAGUCGUAAAACCGCUGGUGAAUAAGGGGUGGGCAAGUUCUGGUGCCAGCAGCCGCGGUAAU
rnacentral:rRNA from 1 species